ACACAAGAGAGGAGGUGGUCUGAAGAAUGUAUGUUCAACGGAUGCGUGAGGUGGCUGCCCGCUAGCAGCACACCCUGCGGGAUUUCCCCAGCGGUGCGCUGAGCGCGAAUCCCAAGCAGUCACCCGACCCCCGAGCCCCCGGCAGAUCCAACCGGGACCGUCACGUUCCCUGGAACGCGACGAUAUGGCUCGGGGGUCGCUCCAU
rnacentral:sRNA from 1 species